rnacentral:lncRNA from 1 species
AGAGUGCUAAGGAUUGAGGGAUUAAGAGGAGGUGAUUGUAUUAUUCCUCUUUUCAGAUAAUGGAGAGAGAGAAGAGAACAGCAGUAGCCGUUGCCAGAAAUAUUGAUUGUUGGUGGCAUAUAUAAUGAGUGCUGGGUGUUAAGGAAGCAAUGGUGAAGGAGAGACACCCUCCCGACCCUCAUGGUGCUUGCAGCCUAGUGGAGCUAUGAAAAGAUAGGCAAGUGAGUCCUAUGAUUGGAGAAGUAAUGAGAAGUAAUGAGAAGCGUCUUCUAAGCAUAGGGGUAAAGACUGCAAAGACCCUGAAGGGAGAAAGUAAUGGCCAUUCUGAGAACUGAAAGUUUGCACAGUGCACAGAGGGCAUGAAGAACGAAGGAAAGAGAUUUUUUUUUUUUUUUUUUUGCCCAAGAUGGCAAGUUGCUUAAAACCUAAAGCUCCUUUCAAUUCUUUACAAUCCAAGAUUAUAUGGAAUGGACUGGGAACAAAGAGAGGGACUGGCAUUUAAAGUCUUUUAUACACUUUGGAACAAAUGUUAUUCUCCAUUCAUCCUGACACUAAAUUGGUUAGCCAAACCCAAAGAUCUACUAAUAAUCCUGCUUUGGCAUGGGAGAAUGAGUGAGAUAAGGAGGCAAUAGAGGAGAUGAAUCGACAAAUGGAAGGAAUAGAAUUCUGGUUGAUGUCCUUGUCUCUAAGCUGUAGCAGCAAGUAUUUAUCCUAAUCAUGUGGUGUUAGCACGGAGAUGAGAAAGAGAGAAAGACAACAUCAUGCUUUGCUGUCUGUGUGUGAACUGAGUAACAGCUGUGAAGGAUCAGUCACCAAAAGACUUUGAAAGAAGAGGCUUGAUUGGUCACGGUAAUGAUGCUCCCCUGGCCAUGGAAGUUUAAUUGGGAGAAAAGAACAUCUGCUUAUACGAAAACAUAUUAUAUUCAGCCAUCCCUGCCCUGACUUUGGCCUUUAAAAACAGUGGCAUUAAUUAUCUCAACAAAUGAAUCUUCGGGAUAAAAAUAAUCUAAAUAUUAUUUUACGCUUACUACAUAUUUGCAACGUGCUAAGCUCUUUAUGGUUGCUACCACAAAAAACAUUUAUAAUAUGAGACUUCACAAGGUUAGGAACAGGCUUCACUUCAUUGUGAUGUGUGUAAGGUGACAGAGGACAUAUAACGAAUACGUGGAAGAACUAGGAAUUUGACCUUAGCUUCCAGACAUUUUGAGGAGGAUACACUAUGUCCAUCUUGCUUUCCUAUCAAGAAAAGUAUACCCAGUUUGUGCAGUAGCCCUGUACCAACAGAUACAUUACAGCAGGUUGUUUCCGUAUUUUGGCUAUUGUGAAUAGUGCUGCAAUAAACAUGGAAGUGCUGAUAUAUCUUUGAGAUCUUGACUUCAAACAAAAGAAGAAAAUCUUGCAAUAUAUGACAACACGGAUUAACCUGGAGGACAUUGUGCUUAGUGAAGUUAGCCAGUCACAGACUGACAAGUACUGCACGAUUCCACUUAUGAAGACUACAGUUCCUAUCUUCACAGGUGGCUGUUAGCUCUAAAUGAACUCAUUUAUUUUGAAAGCAUGAUUUAAAGUAUAGUUUUAAACUAUAAGCAUUUCAGAAGUGAUGACCCAUGACUCAAAUCUCAAAAAUAAAUGCUACAGUUCACAGUUGGAAUAUGGACACAAGAAAAAUAAUAGAUGAUGCCACUGAAAGGUAAACAUACCAUUCUGACAUGCAUGAAAAUGAAACGACAAAUUGAUACACGCAGUGCUUGGAAUGGAUGGAGUCCUUCUAAUGAGUGAUUACCUGUGGUAUAACUAUAUUGAUUGUGUUUGUACAUGUCAAAUGGGGCUGGCGAGGAUGAACUUGAAGAAAUCAAUCUUGGAACCUGCUAGGACAGCAGCCUCCUGGUUUCACAGUACUAAAUCAUGACUUCAAAAUUUUGAAGUAAAAGAAAACUGCAAAACUUUGUAAAGGUACCAGUCUCUUCCUGACACUAUUUGCCUUGGCAAAAGAUUCACUGUCAACUUAAAAGACUAACAUGUGCUCAGAUGAUGAUUUGUGGAGGACAGAUAAUUAUGAGUACAUUUAGAAAUACACACUCUUCCAAACCCUGCUCUUUCCAUAUAAUGAAGUUAUUUAUUUCUAUUUUUUAUUUAUUUUUCUAAUAAUUACAAACAUACUUUGGAGACCCACAUUCCUGUAUUAUUCUUUCAACAUACUGAAGAAGAGUUAUUUCUAUGCUUCUUUCUAUGUGUUGGGCUUAAGAUUUAUUAGAAGGAAUGUGUAAAAACAAAGGCAGCAAAGUUUCUAUUUUUAUUGGGAGUCACUCCCGGAGUAAGUGGGGAUAGUUGUGCACACACACACACACACAUUCAUGCACAAAGAAAGAGUGAUCAAGUGUAUAACACACUUUUAGCAGUGUUUUGCUGGAAGAAUAAAGUAUAACUCCUUGUCCGCCCUUUUAUUAUACUGGGGUUCACACUAAGAGAGUCUGAGGACCUGUGGAACUCCCAUUUGCAUGAAAUAACUUUUGCAUCUAUUCUGGAGGAAAACUUCCUAAGGCAGAUUUGGACAGAAAAUUGCUAUCAGCGCAAAUAAAACAAUGCAAAGCCUACUCCGGGGAACGUUGCUCUGCCACCACUACUGAAAUGGGUCAUCCCCUUGGUUUCUGAAUAAAGAAUUAUGAAACCUGGGGCUAGAAUGCUCAGGGAGGAAUUUACCAAUCCAAAUCUUCCCCUUAUGGUAGAGAACAAACUUUCAAGGUUUGUUCUCCACUGUAAGUGUGCGAGGGCUGUUAGGGACCGUAAUAUGGCUGCCGGAGACUGGUGUGUGUACCUCCUUGACUGUACGUCUCAUUUCCAGUUAUGAUUUUACAAUCAUCUCUUUCUCAACCUUUGCUUUUAAAUAUAGGAAGGUACGGCUCACCAUGGAGCGGACAUUUUCUUCAGGAGCGGUACGGUGUCUAAGAUAUGCAGAGGUUGUAUUCUAGUCCUAUAACUCAAUUCUCAAACACAUGGCUUUUAGCCAGGGAUAUCCUAAAGGAAAAUUACACUAUAUGCAACCCCUCCUUACUCCUCAAAUAUUAUCUAUAUUAAACACAGCUGAAAUUUGAGAGUGUCCUUACAGGUGAAAAUUUAACAAUUUAACAAAAGGACACUGCUGAAUGUGUGGGGACAAAGGAAGGAUGAAUCUUUCAUCAUGACAAAAGACUACUUGCCACAUUCUCCCUUAACUUAGAAAAACA